UACAGAGGUCUCAAGCGUUGUUCGGAUUCAUUGGGCGUAAAGGGUGUGUAGGUGGCGCCGUAAGUCGGGGUGUGAAAUUUCGGAGCUUAACUCCGAAAACUGCAUUUGAUAUGGUGUGCUUGAGGACUGGGAGAGGGAGAGCUGGAAGUCAUGGUGUAGCAGUGAAAUGCGUAGAGAUCAUGAGGAAGACCAGUGGCGAAGGCGGGUCUCUGGACAGUUCCUGACACUGGAGGCACGAAGGCCAGGGGAGCAAACGGG
rnacentral:rRNA from 1 species